rnacentral:tRNA from 1 species
CAAAAAAUAGUUUAAUAAAAUAACAGUUUUGGGUAUUGUAGAUAAGCGUAGCUUUUUUUUGA